rnacentral:rRNA from 1 species
CCGGCGACCGGCGCACGGGUGAGUAACACGUAUGCAACCUGCCCUCCGCAGGGGGAUAACCCGGAGAAAUCCGGACUAAUACCGCGUGGUACAUCUGUGGGCAUCCCACGGGUGUUAAAAGGAAGCGAUUCCGGCGGAGGAUGGGCAUGCGGCGCAUUAGCUAGUUGGCGGGGUAACGGCCCACCAAGGCGACGAUGCGUAGGGGUUCUGAGAGGAAGGUCCCCCACACUGGUACUGAGACACGGACCAGACUCCUACGGGAGGCAGCAG